rnacentral:snRNA from 1 species
GCCUUUGCGCUUGGAGCAAUGAUGUAGCUAGUUAGGUAUUAACUGAGGUGUGUCAAUUGCUGGUUGAAAACCAUUCCCAAGGCUUUACCAACAUGCGAGAUAUAACAUUUUUAAGCCCUAAAAUUUACUCAAGG